CAGUCGAACGAGCUAAUGGGUAACUAUUAGUGCAGUGGCGGACGGGUGCGUAACGCGUAAGAACCUACCUUUUGGAGGGGGAUAACAGCGGGAAACUGUUGCUAAUACCCCAUAAUGCUGAGGAGUUAAAGCAGCGAAAGCUGGCCAAAAGAGGGGCUUGCGUCUGAUUAGCUAGUUGGUGGGGGUAAAAGCCUCCCAAGGCCACGAUCAGUAGCUGGUCUGAGAGGAUGAUCAGCCACACUGGGACUGAGACACGGCCCAGACUCCUACGGGAGGCAGCAGUGAGGAAUUUUCCGCAAUGGGCGAAAGCCUGACGGAGCAAUGCCGCGUGAGGGAAGAAGGUCUGUGGAUUGUAAACCUCUUUUUUUAGGGAAGAAAACAAUGACGGUACCUAAAGAAUAAGCUCCGGCUAACUUCGUGCCAGCAGCCGCGGUAAUACGAAGGGAGCAAGCGUUAUCCGGAAUGAUUGGGCGUAAAGCGUCUGUAGGUGGCCUAUAAAGUCUACUGUCAAAUACCAAGGCUUAACCUUGGGCAUGCAGUAGACUACCUUUAGGCUUGAGUGUGGUAGAGGUAGAGA
rnacentral:rRNA from 1 species